GACGUAGGGCGCGAGCGUUGUCCGGAUUUAUUGGGCGUAAAGAGCUCGUAGGCGGUUUGUCGCGUCUGCCGUGAAAGUCCGGGGCUCAACUCCGGAUCUGCGGUGGGUACGGGGCAGACUAGAGUGAUGUAGGGGAGACUGGAAUUCCUGGUGUAGCGGUGAAAUGCGCAGAUAUCAGGAGGAACACCGAUGGCGAAGGCAGGUCUCUGGGCAUUAACUGACGCUGAGGAGCGAAAGCAUGGGGAGCGAACAGGA
rnacentral:rRNA from 1 species